rnacentral:rRNA from 1 species
GACGAACGCUGGCGGCGUGCUUAACACAUGCAAGUCGAACGGUAAGGCUCCAGCUUGCUGGGGUACACGAGUGGCGAACGGAUGAGUAACACGUGGGUGACCUGCCCUGCACUUCGGGAUAAGCCUGGGAAACUGGGUCUAAUACCGGAUAGGACCAUGGUGUGGAUACUGUGGUGGAAAGUUUUUUCGGUGUGGGAUGGGCCCGCGGCCUAUCAGCUUGUUGGUGGGGUAAUGGCCUACCAAGGCGGCGACGGGUAGCCGGCCUGAGAGGGUGGACGGCCACAUUGGGACUGAGACACGGCCCAGACUCCUACGGGAGGCAGCAGUGGGGAAUAUUGCACAAUGGGCGGAAGCCUGAUGCAGCGACGCCGCGUGGGGGAUGACGGCCUUCGGGUUGUAAACUCCUUUCACCAUCGACGAGGGGUUUCUGACGGUAGAUGGAGAAGAAGCACCGGCUAACUACGUG